GGAUGUGGAAUCUGGCCAGGGAAGAGGCAGCUUGGUCCAGCCCACUGCAGGAGGCUGGUAGCAGGGCCUUUGAAGGUUGCCGAGGCCACAAACAGCAGCAGCUCUCCCGCUCAAGAGAGGGGAAGUGACCCAGUGAGGAUUCCACAGCAAGAGCGAGCACAGGCGGGUGCCCAGCCUCCUGGAUCAUGCCGCUCCUGAAUCCCGCACACCAGCACCAACCAGCCAGGCAUGUUUCCAGGGAGGAACAGCCCCGGACAACACCCCGAAUACAGCAAGUGCUGGCGCCCC
ensembl:lncRNA